GAGUGUGCAGCUUUGUGGCCAUAGUUUUGCAAAAACUAAUGAGGGAUUAUUAUUAAAUUCCCCACGCUUU
rnacentral:tRNA from 1 species